GGCGCUAUAGCCAAGUGGUUACGGCGACAGAUUCGAAUAUGUGCGGCUCCGUUACCAUGAUUAUUUCCAUCUGUUCCUCUUUGAGGGCGCAGGUUCAAAUCCUGCUGGCGUCG